rnacentral:rRNA from 1 species
AUUGAACGCUGGCGGCAUGCUUUACACAUGCAAGUCGAACGGUAACAGGCCGCAAGGUGCUGACGAGUGGCGAACGGGUGAGUAAUGCAUCGGAACGUGCCCAGUCGUGGGGGAUAACGCAGCGAAAGCUGCGCUAAUACCGCAUACGAUCUCUGGAUGAAAGCGGGGGACCGAAAGGCCUCGCGCGAUUGGAGCGGCCGAUGUCAGAUUAGGUAGUUGGUGGGAUAAAAGCUUACCAAGCCGACGAUCUGUAGCUGGUCUGAGAGGACGAUCAGCCACACUGGGACUAAGAAACGGCCCAGACUCCUACGGGAGGCAGCAGUGGGGAAUUUUGGACAAUGGCGCAAGCCUGAUCCAGCAAUGCCGCGUGCAGGAUGAAGGCCUUCGGGUUGUAAACUGCUUUUGUACGGAACGAAAAGCCCCGGGUUAAUACCCUGGGGUCAUGACGGUACCGUAAGAAUAAGCACCGGCUAACUACGUGCCAGCAGCCGCGGUAAAAC